rnacentral:rRNA from 1 species
UGGGGAAUAUUGGACAAUGGGGGAAACCCUGAUCCAGCAAUGCCGCGUGAGUGAUGAAGGCCUUCGGGUUGUAAAGCUCUUUUGCCUGUGACGAUAAUGACGGUAACAGGAGAAUAAGUCCCGGCUAACUUCGUGCCAGCAGCCGCGGUAAUACGAAGGGGACUAGCGUUGUUCGGAAUUACUGGGCGUAAAGGGCGCGUAGGCGGUUUUGUGCGUUAGAUGUGAAAGACCUGGGCUUAACCUGGGAAGUGCAUUUAAUACGGCAAAACUAGAGGACGAGAGAGGAAAGUGGAAUGAUGCAUGUAGAGGUGAAAUUCGUAGAUAUGCAUUGGAACACCAGUGGCGAAGGCGACUUUCUGGCUCGUAACUGACGCUAAGGCGCGAAAGCGUGGGGAGCAAACA